GGGCCCGUAGCUCAGCGGUUAGAGCAGCCGGCUCAUAACCGGUUGGUCCCUGGUUCGAAUCCAGGCGGGCCCA
rnacentral:tRNA from 1 species